UGCAUUAAGGAGGCUCGAGGGUAUACAAAUUUCAGAAAAAAAUCAAACAUUUGUUUUUCAUUACAAAUUUUAUUUAUUUCCUAUUGUAGUUGUUACUUUAUCAUAUGGUACAAAAAUCAUUCAAAACAAUCAAUUCGUGUUGGCCCCAGAUGACUUUCAAAAUGUAUACAUCAUUGAAAAAGUUCCAAAUUAUCUCCCUUUGGUGAAAAAAUGCCAUUUUUUGGCUCUAAAAUUGAAAUAUCUUUUUCAACUCAUCGGUGACCUAUCUUUAUUAAUAUAAUUUCCAUAUAAGCUGUACUUAAACUAAAUUAUUGUAAAAUUUUAGCGAUUUCUGUAAUAAAUUUCUUUUUUUUACUUCGAUAUUACCUUUAUUUCUCCUAUUACUUCAACAGAAAAAAACCACCAUUACAAAAAUGUAUGCUUCUUUCGAAGGCAGAUUGUGAGCGCAAAUGAACGGUGACCCCACUUUUUUAUUUUAUUUUUCUAUUAACUAUAAGAUAAAGUUCAUUUAUAGAAAAAUAUAGAGAAAUCCUAUAUAAAUGAUUUAGACCCGCGAACCCCCUUAAAGU
rnacentral:lncRNA from 1 species